AUUCAUAGGACUGUGUCACCCUUCACAUCUGCUUGCUGCCACAGGGGCUGUUUGUGCCAUUCCCAGGAAGCACUAGUUCAGCGAUGGCCACGGAACAGGGACAGGUCCUCUCUAGAAAGUGGAGUGGCUUCAGCAGGAGAGAUCAGGCACAUCCUCAGCACAGCCCUGCUCCAGACAGCCAGUGGUCUGCAGGAGGACAGAGGGCUGCCUUUGAGUUCCCAGCUGCAGAGAAGGGGAGAGACCCACAGGUCCUGCCUUUCAGCAAGAAGAUCUGGUACCAAGCUCCACCAAAUAAGUCUUAGUAAGAAAAGCUACGGGAGUUAGAAAAGAGACCUCCAUGAAGAUGAUUUCAUGGACCAACCUGGAAAGAGAAUACUUGUGGAUGAGAGCAGCAUGAAG